CAGUUAGGGGAAUGAUGUACAAUUCUCGAGCACUUCAGAAGCUAAACUUGUUUGAUGCGGCAUCUAAGGAGAACAUUGAUA